UUUAAUUUUUAUGGUCAAACCAUUGCUUAAAGUCCCUAUCUGAAUUCUCUCUACAAAAUUGAUACUUCCUGAAUCCAAAUUGGCUUACUUUGGUGCUGCUCGGAGAGAUCUUAGUUUUUUUCGUCUUUGUGCUGCUCUCCUCUUCUGCUAGAUGCUUUGAAAUGGGGAAGGAAGGAAACUGAUUUUCCGUCGUGAGAAAGGCUUUUGGUUCGGGUUAAGAAAAAAGAAAGAUAAGAAAGAACACAAAUCUGAAAAAUGAUCUGGAAAGCAACAGAGCAACGAAUUAAAUUCUUCAAAUACAGAAACUGCAUUAGUAGUGAGUCCUGCACCCCUUCUGCCUCCUCCUGUAGAGCAGAUGAAAUUGAUGGAAGCUGAGAAUGAGCAGAACAAGCAUGCCUAUUCAGUAGCUAUUGCCACUGUUGUUGCUGCAGAAGCAGCAGUUGCCGCUGCUCACAGCUGCAACCUGUAACUAGGGUUAAUCGAAGGAAGAGAUUGUUGCUAUAAGAAUACAUACAACUUUUCGAGGAUACUUUGUAGGAUGUCUAACUUUUGGUGUAAUUUAAGCUUGCAUAACAUGAUCAUAUAUUUGGUCUUUUUGACUUCAACCUUGAUUAGUUGGUUCCAUUUCUAUAUUGGCUAGAGGGUUUUCUUAUUCCUUUCCAUUAUUUCUCUACUUUCAUUACUUAUCUUCUUCCUUGGUCUUGUCUAUAGACUUACCGGGAGGUUGAAUGAUGUUGCUUUAUUUGGUGAUUAGUUUAGCGUAGUCCAAAAAUGGCAAAAAAUGCUCAGUAUAAAGUCACCUCUUAAAGGGGAACCUCCAAAUUGCAAUAUUUUCAGUAUAGAGUCAUCAUAAUUUAGCAACAUUAUUAAUAAA